CGUACUGGUUGUUUCAGUGCAGUUGUAAUUAUAGGACUCAGAGUAUGAGUUGGCCAUUUGGAAGAAUGAGAACUUUUGUUUUUCGCGACAUUAGAAUGCAAUGACAAUGACGUUAAGCUAUUUCGGGCAUCUCUCGAAGGAACAAGAAAAGAGCGAUCGUUGUUCAUAUUAUGUUUAUCUAAAGAUUUUUCCACUUUCGGUUUCGAAUCUUUAUUCUUUAUUUCAACAGGAGGUACGGAACUAGUAGUGGGAACUUCACUAAAUCGAACUCGUUUCUUCAAAGGCUUCUUUAGAACUCGAGCAGCUUUGGAUGGUGAGCGAGCCUUGAAUCGACUAGGAGAGCGAGGUAUUUCAAACAUUGAUAAUAGAGGUGCUUUUCCUUUUUCAAUUAAAUUGGGAACUUGAAUGGUUGGCUCUGAAGGUACUAUUCCAACCAAUUGGUCAAAGGCCCUUGCAAGGGAUUCAUUAACAUCAAUGGCAUUUCCUGGUAACAGGGGGAAUAGUAGGAAUAGGUUCUGGAUAAGCUUACGAGACGUUGAAGAGAAUGUUUCAGACUCAUGCUUGGCAUCAAGAAUUUGGUUUUCGAUAAUAGAUUUCAACAAAUCGACGUCGUCUUGCAACAUGUCAGCAUACAUAUCAGCCCCCUCACCUUUGAACGAAGACACUAUAUGAGAAAUACUGUUUUGAAAAGUUUUGCAGAUUUCUUCUGGAUUAACUUUGGCAGUAAUCAAGCUUCUUUGAUCGUAUAACUUUGCAAGUCUUGUUUCGACAGAUUUUAUAUUAUGCCCCGACAUAGCAUCACUUUCCUUAGCAAUGGAAAUCCACAUCUUUGUUAAUGUGAUUUCAUCUUCAAUCCUUCUCAAUGUACGUACAUGUUCAAUUAGUGAUUUCUGCAGAUCCCUUGAACCAUCAAAUGAGUUUUUGAGCAUGCUUCUAGCAUCUAACAUUUUAAUUUCUCGAGAAGAAAUUUUUCGUACCUCCUUAUUUAAAGCCAAUUGCUUAGACUCUUCAGCAAUCCUCUUUUGAAGUAUGCUAA